rnacentral:rRNA from 1 species
CGGAGAGGGAGCAUGAGAGACGGCUACCUGGGUCCAAGUGACAACAGUCAGGCGUCGAAAAUUACCGGAGCCUGCUUACAGGGCGGUAGUAAGGAGACGUGAGAACGAUGUGGGGGUAAAGAACGCACUGUGUACGGGAGGAAAAGACUGGUGCCAGCACCCGCGGUAAUACCAGCUCCUGGAGUGUCUAUGGUGAUUGCUGCAGUUAAAGCGUUCGUAGUCGAGGCGGAAAGAAUGGCGUGACAGCCAGCUGCUCAAAGGGUGGUUUGCGCUGUGAUCCCGCGGGAUGAGGAGUGUCUAGGGGCCAGGGUAUUAAACGGCAAGCGGUGAAAUGUGGUGACCCGUUUAGGAGCGACAGAGGCGAAAGCGCUGGCCAGGGGCAAGUCCGAUGAUAAAGGACGUAGGCUAGAGGAUCGAAGACGAUUAGAGACCGUUGUAGUUCUAGCAGUAAACGAUGCCGAUGUUGUGGUGCUGUCUGGCAACGCAAGAGAGAAAUCUAGUAGGGCCCUGGGGAGAGUACGCGCGCAAGCGAGAAAUUUAAAGGAAAUUGACGGAUGAACACCUCAAAGAGUGGAGUGUGCGGCUUAAUUUGACUCAACGCGGGACAGCUUACCGGGCCCGACGACCGGACGAGCGUGACACGCGAUAGGUCGGAGAGUGGUGCAUGGCCGUUAACGACGAGUGGAGUGAUCUUUGGGUUAAGUCCGUAAAUUAGUGAGACCCCAGAAGUUGACAGGUGCGCAACGCACAGGAAGGAUGGGUCAAGGACAGGUCAGUGAUGCCCUUAGAUGGCCCGGGCUGCACGCGCACUACAGUGGUCGCCGAAGUUUUGUUGUAGAGGUAAAGGCGAUCGAGAGGGAAUGAGCUUUGGAAGAGGCUCAGGAACGCGGAAUUGUUAGUAAUCGCGGGCUCAUUAAGACGCGAUGAAUACGACCCUGUUCAUUGUACACACCACCCGUCGUUAUCGAAGACGAUGCUAGGCGCGAGCGAGGUUUGAUGGCUGAGCGAGCGCAGGGUAUUGAAUCUGAUACAAGUCGUAACAAGGUAACC